rnacentral:rRNA from 1 species
AUGGGUGCAGCAGGCGCGAAAACUACGCAAUGCGCGAAAGCGUGACGUGGGAACUCCAAGUGCCUGCAUAGGGUAAGGCUUUUGUUUAGUGUAAGUAGCUAAACGAAUAAGUGCUGGGCAAGACCGGUGCCAGCCGCCGCGGUAACACCGGCAGCGCAAGUGGUGACCGCUUUUAUUGGGCCUAAAGCGUUCGUAGCCGGUUUGGUAAGUCUUUGGGUAAAUCCUUCGGCUUAACCGAAGGAAUUCCGAAGAUACUGCCAGACUUGGAGUUGAGAGAGGUCAGAGGUACCUCUGGGGUAGGGGUGAAAUCCUAUAAUCCUGGGGGGACCACCAGUGGCGAAGGCGUCUGACUAGAGCAAGCUCGACGGUGAGGGACGAAAGCCAGGGGCGCGAACGGGAUUAGAUACCCCGGUAGUCCUGGCCGUAAACGCUGCGCGCUAGGUGUUGCAUGCUCUACGAGGGCGUGCAGUGCCGAAGAGAAGUUGAUAAGCGUGCCGCCUGGGAAGUAUUACCGCAAGGUAGAAACUUAAAGGAAUUGGCGGGGGAGCACCACAAGGGGUGGAGUCUGCGGUUCAAUUGGAUUCAACGCCGGGAAACUCACCGGGAGCGACGGCAGAAUGAUAGCCAAGCUGAUGACUUUGCUUGACGAGCCGAGAAGUAGUGCAUGG